rnacentral:rRNA from 1 species
AGCAAAAAGAAGAACCUUGCCAAAUCUUGACAUCCUUUGACCACUCUAGAGAUAGAGUUUUCCCCUUCGGGGGACAAAGUGACAGGUGGUGCAUGGUUGUCGUCAGCUCGUGUCGUGAGAUGUUGGGUUAAGUCCCGCAACGAGCGCAACCCUUAAACUUAGUUGCCAGCAUUUAGUUGGGCACUCUAGGUUGACUGCCGGUGACAAACCGGAGGAAGGUGGGGAUGACGUCAAAUCAUCAUGCCCCUUAUGAUUUGGGCUACACACGUGCUACAAUGGACAAUACAAAGGGCAGCUAAACCGCGAGGUCAUGCAAAUCCCAUAAAGUUGUUCUCAGUUCGGAUUGUAGUCUGCAACUCGACUACAUGAAGCUGGAAUCGCUAGUAAUCGUAGAUCAGCAUGCUACGGUGAAUACGUUCCCGGGUCUUGUACACACCGCCCGUCACACCACGAGAGUUUGUAACACCCGAAGCCGGUGGAGUAACCAUUUAUGGAGCUAGCCGUCGAAAGGUGAACAAAGUU